AUAUUUUGUCAUCAAAAGUUUAAUGUACAAUUUGGGAUAAUACAUUUUGAUGUGGUACUGAGAGAGUAUAAAUAUAGUUAGAACAAAAAAAUAAAUAAAUAAAUGGAUACUUGUCCAUGACUAAACAUCUGAAGGUAAGUUAAAAGAAAGAGCACAACUUUACAAUCCGUAUCCAGUCUCAUCGCUCAAUCAGUGCUUCAGCAUCACAAAGACGCCAAUAUAACUGCUUGUAAACAAUGUCACGUAACGUCACAUUUACCUCAGAAACAAACAUAUUCGGUAACCAUAAACUCAUUAGUCAGAAAAAUAAACUGUAGAGAGGGGCAUAUAACAUAUUCAUUAUAAACUUUACUGUUCUCCAAUGUUUAAUUUAUGUUUGAGAAAAUAUAUAAUUUUUUUAUUACAGCCACCAUUUGGUUUAUAUUUAAAAAUAAAAAUAAUAAUAAUUAAAGUAGAAAUAUUAUUAUGCAAUUGUAACUUUAUUAUUUAAAAAACUUAAGUGUAAUAUUAGCCUUCAAUAUUAUAGUUCUAAGAAAUGACUCUCAUGUAUAUUUUACAGCAUUUUUUUCCUUGAGAAAAUUUGGCAUGUACUGUACCUGAUAAAUAUCCAAAUAAUCGACAUUGAAUCGAAUCAGUAAUCAAAUCAAAUCGCGAGCUUGUGAAUGAGAAUUGAAUCGAAUUGUUAGAAUGAGCUUUUAAGUUGUUUUUGUUCAGGUGUUCAGUUCAGUACGAAUCAUUUCAUUAUAACUAGAGAGUCAUUGUGCAGUGUAGAGAAUUUAAUUGAUUAUCACCUAACUUCGUGAGAUCGUGAGUGAUUAUAAAGGAAGUGUUUAUUGAUUGACAGGUCUCCUGUCCCCGUGUUGAGAUAAAUCAGAUGUUACUGUAGUUCUAAAAUAAAUGUGAAUAUGCAUUAAUUCAGCUCACUCACAAAAAACAACACAGAUUCAGUAUUCCUCAAAAUGAAUAAAAAUAAUGCAACUCAGAAUAUGACGCAAACCUGCAAUAAUUAAAUGUUAAACAACACAAAUAUCCUUUAUGUAUUUAAUCCCAUUCUAUUAACUGAUGUAUUUGCUUCUGACCUUUGAUGAUCCAGUUCAACCAUACUAAUAAGCAAAAUUAUACUCUAGACAAACAUUAGUGUGUCUUUUUUUUAUUGCUUAAGUGUGUUGAAAUUUCUUUUUCUGCUUUUUCUGCGUAUUAAUUUUACUUUUGCUGUGAAAAGCCUAUUAUAUUUGCCAAAAAUAUAACUUUUUUAUUUUAAAAACAAACAAGGCAGCCCUGUACAGAUUUAAAAAGUAACGCAAAAGUAACAUAAUGCAUUACGUUCCAUAAAAGGUAACGUAAUUAGUUACUUUUUUUAAUGAAGAAACGCAAUAUUGUAAUGCAUUUCUUUUAAAAGUAAGUUUCCCCAGCACGGUGCACAGCAGUGCCCAGCAGCUCAGUCGUAAACAUGCUCUGAACUGUUUGUGUUAUCAGAUCUGGGAAGACUGCCAAAUAUGUGAGUUAGAAAACAUCACACUGAGGCACUUUGCUGCAUAUCAAGAACAUUAACCCUGAUGAAGACGAACAAGAUGCAGUUGAAGCAUUUCACCAAGAAAUGACUACUUUAAUCAACUUUAUCAAUACUAAUUUCAGUCUUACAUCAGGUGGGUCAGGUUGCAGGCCCAGAAAGGGAUGAAGGACACUUCUAACACCAGGCCUGAUCAGAGUGCUGAUGUCAGGCAAACGGCCGACACAGAAAGAUUCAUUUUUAUUUAUUUUUUAUAUAUAUAGCAUUUUUUACGAUCCAAAUUGUGUCAAAGCAGCACAGUGGGUUUAUCCCACUUCCACAUUAUUACUUAUUGAUUUAUUUUCCUUUUCUUUUUUUAAACCUGUAUACAGUUAUCUCUUUUAAUAUAUUGUUCUAUUGUAUUUUUUAAAGUAUUCUUUUUUUGAGUGUUCUUAUCUAUUAUAGACUUGCGCAGUCAUAGUUUCAAUCACUUAGCAGUUCUGUUCAGUGUGUUUCUUGCACUGGUUUGGUUUAGUUGGGAUCAUCACAGGGCAUCAGUAAGAAUGCACAGAAGUCCACAGCUGUGUCCCAAACUGAAGUGUGCGGACUCCGAAGUGCGAUUGCAUCACAGCAUCAUGAUGUAAUCUGUCCCAAUUCAGGAUGCACCCUCCAAAGACUGCAUUCCAAGACGGAUUGCGGGUGAGAGUUCUGUGGGGGAAUUAACAUUGAAAUGUGAGCGGUUGGGAACUAGCGACCUCUCCUGGUUGGAGGCAGUAUUAACAUCAUAAACUGAAAGCAGUCUUUAGAUGACUUGCUUUUCAAAUGUUUUAAAAUUGAUCUUCCGAGUCUAAUAUAAUCCAGCGGGCCAUAGGGCAGCCAGUUGCCCAUCCCUGCUUUAUAAUUUAGUUAUUUUAAUCCCAUUUGUCAACGCU
ensembl:lncRNA